GUGCGCCGUUUACGCAUGCCGGGCGUCUGUAGGCAAGUCACCCGAACCGACACGGGGUGACACAGACC
rnacentral:ncRNA from 1 species